rnacentral:rRNA from 1 species
UGCCAGCCGCCGCGGUAAGACGAACCGUCCAAACGUUAUUCGGAAUUAUUGGGCUUAAAGGGUGCGUAGGCGGUGCGGAAAGUUGGGUGUGAAAUCCCUCGGCUCAACCGAGGAACUGCGCCCAAAACUACCGUGCUUGAGGAAGACAGAGGUGAGCGGAACUAAGGGUGGAGCGGUGAAAUGCGUUGAUAUCCUUAGGAACACCGGUGGCGAAAGCGGCUCACUGGGUCUUUUCUGACGCUGAGGUACGAAAGCGUGGGGAGCAAACAGGAUUAGAUA